UUUGCCUGGAAUCUGAUAACAAGCGGCUAUUUUGAACUCUCAGUAUAUGGGG
rnacentral:sRNA from 1 species